CUAAAAUGAGCCGGAAACACGAGUUGAGAGGAGUGAUCGUUGGAGGGAGGGGUCACACGAACCACACAGCUGCAGUUUUCGGCUGCGUCCUCAACACGCUAAACACGAACACAGGGCAUCAGAGACAAAGACAAACAAACACACUUUUCCCCCCCCCGUUUAAUUCCAUCAUGGAUUCAAGGUUGACAGCAAUGUUGUACUUCUCCAAAUAACAAACUUAAUAUUAAUUCCCCCCCUGGAGAAAAGUGACAUUAGUUUUGCUGUCGGUGGCUGUAACUUCUGAUCAUGGACCACACCAGAUUCGGCUGCCAGGUCUGCCUCGCCACAUUUUACAAGGUGUACGAUUUGAAGACGCAUAUGCAAUCAACUGCACAUCUACAGAAAACCAAAGACAUCUUCAAGAAAGAUCUUUCCAAGGGUAAUGGCAUCUUUCCCCCCAUUGAGUUGCUCAGUCCUCAAGCUAAACUGGAACUCAAACUACCCGUCCUAGCCUUGUCUCUGUGUUUCAGUCAAGAGUUAAAAGGAUUGUUUUACCUGUGCCAUGUCUGUGAGGAAAAGUGUCCAUCACAAAGGAUCCUAUGGCACCUCUCUUCUACCGACCAUGGCAAAAACUACUUUAACUACACAAACCCCAACUCGCUGAGUUUCUCCUGGAUCCCCAGCAAGAAUACAAGAGACCAUUUGAGGCCUGAGGUCACAAAGAAAGCACAAGGAACCGGAGAACUACAGGUUUGUACCUGGAAUCACAACAUCAAAUGUACAUUGGAAUGUUAAAGCAGCUUUAUUCAAUCAUUUCCUGUCAACAAUGGAUCACAUCAGGGGGGGAUUUCUUGAGUG
rnacentral:lncRNA from 1 species